AUCAUUUGACGUUAGCUGCAGAAGAAGCACCGGCUAACUCCGUGCCAGCAGCCGCGGUAAUACGGAGGGUGCGAGCGUUAAUCGGAAUUACUGGGCGUAAAGCGCAUGCAGGUGGUUUGUUAAGUCAGAUGUGAAAGCCCGGGGCUCAACCUCGGAAUUGCAUUUGAAACUGGCAAACUAGAGUACUGUAGAGGGGGUAGAAUUUCAGGUGUAGCGGUGAAAUGCGUAGAGAUCUGAAGGAAUACCGGUGGCGAAGGCGGCCCCCUGGACAGAUACUGACACUCAGAUGCGAAAGCGUGGGGAGCAAACAGGAUUAGAUACCCUGGGAG
rnacentral:rRNA from 1 species